AGUUGCAAGCUGCUUCACCGUACAUAUUCAUUCGUGGCCCUGAGCCAAGCAGCACAAGAAGGCGUGCCAACCCAUAAUUCUGUAUGGAUUUCUUUUGGUAUUACUCUUUCAGAGGGAAUAAAAGAUGAGAGCAAUUGUUAAAACAACAUCAUUAGAUUGUUGUUUGACUUCAUGCUCUAGUCUAGAAGAUUUCUUUGGCUGGCAUGGAAGACAGAUAAGAAAGUAGCAAAUGACUUAUGUAAAGACUUAAGACUUCUUCGCAGCCACAUCAUCAUGUAGUGUUAACAGACAUUCUUGUAUCUGCUUUACUGUGCAAUUUUGCUUUUCUUAGAGUCACCAAGUUUUUCCAGUGUUAUAUUAAUGCAAGUCAUACCGAGCACAUCUAUACAUGUUUGAGUGCUUUCUAUAAUUUGUUAUUGGUCAGUAUUUUUUAAUUCAUUGUGAUCAAGUAAUUUCCCUAAGUUCUGUAUGUCUUUGUUGUGGGACAUGAAAGAAAAAUCUACUUCUUGAUAAAGAAAUUAUCCUGGCACAAAGAAUGCUUCUUCAAGGCUGAGUAAUGCUUGACGGAGGAGACUAGUACUAAAAACAAAC
rnacentral:lncRNA from 1 species